GACGAACGCUGGCGGCGUGCUUAACACAUGCAAGUCGAACGGAAAGGCUCCAGCUUGCUGGAGUACUCGAGUGGCGAACGGGUGAGUAACACGUGGGUAAUCAGCCCUGCACUCUGGGAUAAGCCUGGGAAACUGGGUCUAAUACUGGAUAUGACCUUUCUCCCUAUGGGGUUUGGUGGAAAGUUUUUCGGUGUAGGAUGAGCCCGCGGCCUAUCAGCUUGUUGGUGGGGUGAUGGCCUACCAAGGCGACGACGGGUAGCCGGCCUGAGAGGGUGAUCGGCCACAUUGGGACUGGGAUACGGCCCAGACUCCUACGGGAGGCAGCAGUGGGGAAUAUUGCACAAUGGGCGGAAGCCUGAUGCAGCGACGCCGCGUGAGGGAUGACGGCCUUCGGGUUGUAAACCUCUUUCAGCAGGGACGAAGCGUAAGUGACGGUACCUGCAGAAGAAGCACCGGCUAACUAUGUG
rnacentral:rRNA from 1 species